rnacentral:rRNA from 1 species
UGAGGAAUAUUGGUCAAUGGGCGAGAGCCUGAACCAGCCAUGCCGCGUGCAGGAAGACGGCCUUCUGGGUUGUAAACUGCUUUUAUACGGGAGCAAAGAGUCCCUGCGGGGAAAAUUGAGAGUAUCGUAUGAAUAAGCACCGGCUAACUCCGUGCCAGCAGCCGCGGUAAUACGGAGGGUGCAAGCGUUGUCCGGAUUUAUUGGGUUUAAAGGGUGCGUAGGCGGCGUAAUAAGUCAGUGGUGAAAGCCGGCAGCUCAACUGUCGAGGUGCCAUUGAUACUGUUAUGCUUGAGUACAGACGAGGUAGGCGGAAUUUAUGAUGUAGCGGUGAAAUGCAUAGAUAUCAUAAAGAACACCUAUAGCGAAGGCAGCUUACUAGGCUGUAACUGACGCUGAGGCACGAAAGUAUGGGGAUCAAACAGGAUUAGAUACCCUGGUAGUCCAUACAGUAAACGAUGAUUACUCGAUGUUGGCGAUACACAGUCAGCGUCUUAGCGAAAGCGAUAAGUAAUCCACCUGGGGAGUACGCUGGCAACAGUG